rnacentral:rRNA from 1 species
CUGCUGCCUCCCGUAGGAGUCUGGGCCGUGUCUCAGUCCCAAUGUGGCCGUUCAACCUCUCAGUCCGGCUAUGGAUCGUCGACUUGGUAGGCCGUUACCCCACCAGCUAUCUAAUCCAACGCGAGCCCAUCCUUCGGCACCUCAGUUUUGGUAUUUCUAUCAUGCGGUAAAAAUGCGUUAUGCGGUAUUACUGUCCGUUUCCAGACACUAUCCCCCUCCGAAGGGCAGGUUGCUCACGCGUUACUCACCCGUCCGCCA